rnacentral:rRNA from 1 species
UACGUAGGGUGCAAGCGUUGUCCGGAAUUAUUGGGCGUAAAGAGCUCGUAGGCGGUCAGUCGCGUCUGCUGUGAAAACUCGGGGCUUAACUCCGGGCCUGCAGUGGGUACGGGCUGACUAGAGUGCGGUAGGGGGAGACUGGAAUUCCUGGUGUAGCGGUGAAAUGCGCAGAUAUCAGGAGGAACACCGGUGGCGAAGGCGGGUCUCUGGGCAACAACUGACGCUGAGGAGCGAAAGCGUGGGGAGCGAACAGG